CAGUCACACAGCCUUCAGACCCACAUCACAUCCCAGUUUACUGAACUGCGCCAGAUUAUCACUGAGAAAGAGCAGAGCUUACUCAGGGAUCUCAAGGAAGAAGAGAAGAGGAUUCUCAAUUCAAUGGAGAAAACUCUUCGUGAGAUUCAAGAGCAUAUAAGGUUAAUUCAGGAGGAAAUCACUGGGUUAAAGGAACAGAUGGAUCAAAAAGACAGUGUGAUAUUUCUCAAGGAGGAAGCUCGUCGGAACAGGAGGAUUAAUGACGAUGUCCAGGAAUUGUCAGUGACAGAUGAGGCCCUACCGGUUGAAAAAUUCGAUCACCCCUAUUUGUUGAACA